rnacentral:rRNA from 1 species
UUACCUACGGGGGGCAGCAGUGAGGAAUAUUGGUCAAUGGGCGGAAGCCUGAACCAGCCAAGUCGCGUGAGGGAAUAAGGCCCUACGGGUCGUAAACCUCUUUUGCCGGGGAGCAAGGGCCGGGACGCGUCCCGGCCCGGAGAGUACCCGGAGAAAAAGCAUCGGCUAACUCCGUGCCAGCAGCCGCGGUAAUACGGAGGGGGCGAGCGUUAUCCGGAUUCACUGGGUGUAAAGGGAGCGUAGACGGCCAUGCAAGCCAGGGGUGAAAGCCCGGGGCCCAACCCCGGGACUGCCCUUGGAACUGC